GCGGUGAUGUCCCGGAAUGUGAGGAGGAACAGGACCACCAGGUCCCGUUCGUUUUUUAUCGGCGCUAUUUGCAGAAGCAGCCAUAGUGGUGUUUCUGUGCAUCAAGCGAAACGAGAGACGUGUCACUCGUUGGGAAACCAACGUGGCCACCUGGAUCAACGCUAAUCUAUCAUCAGCUAGUCAGUUUAGAUAGACCAUCGAGCUAAUUAGCCGUUCUCGUCUUCGAUGCAAACGGGCCUUAAACCGAGAUCCGUGCAGGAAGUCUUGCGAUCGAUUGGUUUCAUCGAUGCGAAACGUUCGGGCAAACGUCCAAGCCCUUCCUGCAGGGCACGCGCUAUCCUUAUCGGCUAUCUAUCAUGCUACAGACUUGAAAGCUGUUGCUAACACGCUAACAAGUAACGCACGAUACGUACAUAUGGUUUACAGGCAUGGCGGGCUACCGAUUACAGACCUGGGCACCAUUCUCGUAAUCUCCUUUCAAAUUUUAACUAAUAUUUUAUUUAACACGAACGCAAUUAUUUCGCGAAACAAUUUUAUAUUAUUCCAUUUCCAAAUAGCUUUGCUGAAAAUCAAAGACCGAAUCAAAUAUCGAACGGUUCGAAUGAUUUCUCUCCGUUCUCGAAUAAAAUUCACCCAGGUCUGACCAACUAUGCGAUGGAUACAACGGCCAGAGAGCCAACAAAGUACAGUCGAGCGAAGCUGGUUGCGCAAUACGAGAAGCAGUGCUACCGAAAAGAAUCCGUCUUUCACAGGUAAAACUCAUGCCACCGUGCAAAUGAAUAUCGUAUUUGUCGGAUACAAAGGGAUAGUGGUCGAUCAUCACAUUCGGAUGAGCUUUCUACAGCAUAGUGAAUAACGGACGUUUCAUGCGGUGGGAACUUGGUUACUCCGCGAGACAUCAAGCGGUGCUCAAUCGAGAUCUAUGUGGGAGGUUGGGAGAUGCGAGAGAUACAAGUAGAACAUCGACGGAAUGUCGAAAUGGGGUGCACCGAAUCGUUUCAAGUUUCUCUGCGCUACUGGAAGUCAGAGAUGGGAAAAAGUCGUUGUCCACAGUUCCUUUAGCGAGAAGAUGGAGACAAAGGUAAACGAAACACCACGAGACGGGUACAGGAACAAACGCGAGUUCCGAGCUGUAAAAUUGACCCGAAUGUACGUAGAUACCUAGGUACCGAUACAAUUGAAUUUGUUACAAAGAUCCGAUGCAUACGCGUAAAUUUUAUUUAAACUUUCCAGAUCGCAUGCCAAACGCGACUAAAACUAAAUUAAAUAUCAUAUUUUUCUUCUAUAUUCUAAUUCUAAUAUCGUAAUGAAAAAUUGAUAAAAACUAGACUAACGCAACCAAGUAUUUUUAUUGUCUAUUAUAAAAGGUGUAUAAUUAGUCGAAAUUAUAAAUUAACGACGCGUCAUUCGAAUUCUAUAUAUUUUACGUUAAACUAACGAUAUAUCGAUAUAUCGAUAUAUCGAUCGUUUUCGAUGCAAUAAACAUUGCGAAUAAAUUAAUUAAAUAAAUCUAUUUGUUACGUAUUAUUAUUAUUCGAAUAAAAUUUUGUCCACCUUCGCAGCGCAGACGCCCGAAUAGCGUCAGCAGAGUCUACUCCGAGUAGAUAACAAUAAAUAGUUAUUUUAUGAUACGGAAGAUUACUACACGGGGUCCGUUCGACGCGGCAGUGGGCGGUGCUGCGCGUGAAUGUUGCGCACCGGAUUUCUGGGUGGGGAGUGUCCGUCGGGGACUACUCCGCUGGCGGUAAUCGUGCGUCUGUGGUGGUACGAACAAGGUGCCAGCGGUCCAGUGCACAAUUAAAAUGUGAAACAAUUGGAUGCAGAAAAUUUGAUAAUAAAAAAGUAAAUUAUGUACUAAUGUUUCGUGCCUAUUUCAUUACCUAAGAAAGAGCGAUUUUUACAAUUCCGAGGUGUGUCGGUAAUAAAAGACAUCGAUCAAAGAAUAUCGGUUGUUCGUUAACAGUGCCGGGAAAUAAGGUCCUGGCUUUUAGUUUGUUUUUGGUUUUUUCUGUAACUGUCUUUGCGGGUCGUCGAGGAAUUGGAGUGAAAUACGCCAACAUGGUAAAAGUGUUUGAAAUGAUGAUACGGUGUACAAAGUACGAGUGUGGAGCGUAUCCUGGUAGUUGAGCUUUCAAGUAGACGCAGAUGCUGCGGAUUGUUGGGAGAUGUUGGUCGAUGGGAGCGUUUGAGAGACACUGUUCCAAAGGAUCAGGGCAGAGGCGUCCACGAGAUCAUCCCUGGACUCUGAAAGCUGUAUCGUCUACGGACGCCGUUACGCAUACAAAUGGAAGUAUGUUCGAUCCGUUAUGACUGACAUUAUCACUAUCGGAAGGAUUGGCAUUGUCGCUACCAGAGGGAUGACGUUUUCGCUACCAAGAUAUCUCUGUGAUGAUCAUCUGUCGCUCUAGCGGAGAGUACGGAGAGUAAACGCGUUUUAUUUUUAUUUUUGCCAAGUAGGUGGGAUCGGGACGAAUAAGUAUACCACAGUUAAUAAAUCCUGCGGGUCGUAAAAAUUUUCGAGUGGCGAGUCGCCAUUUUCGAAACGACCAUCGCGUUUUACUGCUUCUUCGAGAAACGUCCGUUGCGCUCGACUUAAUCCCCACGGAGACUGUAUUCUCAUGACGUAAAAAUUUUAUGGAACACCGAGAUCGUGACUAUCCAUUUGAAUUAUUUGAAAUGUCCAAUACGGACACGCGUUCGUUCCAAGAGAAACGCUAUUCCGUUAUAAAUCGACUGGUCACGCUAUUCUGCUCGGCUAUAUUAAAAUGUACAAUGUGUUUCCUUUAAGACGAAUAAUGUAUAAUGACACGUUUAGGAUCAAUUUUCCAUGUAAAGUGAAAAAUGUUAAAUAAAGAAUGAGAAACGAAAA